AUUGAACGCUGGCGGCAUGCUUUACACAUGCAAGUCGAACGGUAACAGGCCGCAAGGUGCUGACGAGUGGCGAACGGGUGAGUAAUGCAUCGGAACGUGCCCAGUCGUGGGGGAUAACGCAGCGAAAGCUGUGCUAAUACCGAAUACGAUCUAUGGAUGAAAGCGGGGGACCGUAAGGCCUCGCGCGAUUGGAGCGGCCGAUGUCAGAUUAGGUAAUUGGUGGGGUAAAGGCUCACCAAGCCAACGAUCUGUAGCUGGUCUGAGAGGACGACCAGCCACACUGGGACUGAGACACGGCCCAGACGCCUACGGGAGGCAGCAGUGGGGAAUUUUGGACAAUGGGCGCAAGCCUGAUCCAGCAAUGCCGCGUGCAGGAAGAAGGCCUUCGGGUUGUAAACUGCUUUUGUACGGAACGAAAAGGUUUGGGUUAAUACCCUGGGCCGAUGACGGUACCGUAAGAAUAAGCACCGGCUAACUACGUGCCAGCCGCCGCCGUAA
rnacentral:rRNA from 1 species